rnacentral:rRNA from 1 species
GGGUCUAUCCAUUGGUCGGGCUUUACGGUCCGUACUGGUUCGAUGGGUCCCUACCUUCUGAAUAACCGGCAUGCCAUUCAGUUGGUGCGCCGGGGAAGCAGAGCUAUUACCUUGAAAAAAUUAGAGUGCUUAAAGCAGGCUAUUGCUUGAAUAGAUUAGCAUGGAAUAAUAAAAUAGGACGGCAUGGUUCUAUUUUGUUGGUUUCUAGGAUCACCGUA